UAGAUUAAGGGAAUUCAUUUAAUGAAAACACAUUGGUAUAAUUAAAUUACAGUAACAAAACAGUAUUCAAGUGACAAGUGACAUCUAUGUAUACAGGACAGCAGCCUCUAAGUUGCAGGGUUGAGUAACUUGGUGGUAGCUGGCUAGUGAUGGCUAUUUAACAGUCUGAUGGCCUUGAGAUAGAAGCUGUUUUUCAGUCUCUCGUUCCCAGCUUUGAUGCACCUGCACUGACCUCGCCUUCUGGAUGAUAGCGGGGUGAACAGGCAGUGGCUCGGGUGGUUGAUGUCCUUGAUGAUCUUUUUGGCCUUCCUGUGACAUCGGGUGCUGUAGGUGUCCUGGAGGGCAGGCAGUGUGCCCCUGGUGAUGCGUCGAGCAGAUCGCACCACCCUCUGGAGAGCCUUGCGGUUGCUGGCGGUUCAGUUGGUAUACAUCUGUGUGUGUGAUUGCGUGUGUGACUGUGUGUGUGCGUCCAUAAGAAAAGGAGACCCAGUACCCAGUGAUAACCAGUUUAUUCUUAGCUCCAUGUUACUGUAGGCUAUGUACAUAAUUGACAGAGCAGAGUGAGGCACAUUGUCUGAACACUUCUACACAAUAUACUAGAUGUAUAGCACUGGUGAUGCUAACACAAGGCUAAAGCAUACAACAUGUGAUGCUAGUUCUGGGCUAAAGUAUAGCAUAUGUGAUGCUAGUUAUAUGCUAAAGUAUUGCCCAUGUUAGCACAAUACCUAAGUAUAGCACUGGUGAUGCUAAAGCUAGGCUAAAGUAAGCUAAAGCAAAGCCAAGGUGAUGUUAACAAUCUGGUAAAGUAUAGCACUAGCAACGCUAGGUUAAAGUAUAGCACAUGUGAUGCUAAAGUAGCAUAGCACAUGCAAUGCUAGGUUAAAUGCUAGGCUAACACUAGGCUAAAUUAAUGUGAAGCACCUUUGAUCGUGGCGAGAACACCAGCUGAUUGCAUACGAGUGAGUGAGGAACUAACACAACACACCAUACAGAAAGAGACAGAGAGCCGUGUCAUGUUGCUGGUGACAGUAUUGAACCAGUGUGUGUAUUAGUGUGACAGCAGAAGAUAGUUAUAAUAUAACCUAAACCUAGUUUCUAUAUGGGCCAGUUUCCCAGGCAAAGAUUAAGCCUAGUCCUGGACUAAAUGCUGCUUUCAAUAGAGAAUCUCCAUUGAACUUUAUUUUUAGUCCAGGACUAGGUUUAUCCUGUAGUGUCGGUCCGGAUGAGCUACGGUCGGUCCGGAUGAGUUGGGGUCGGUCCGGAUGAGUUGGGGUCGGUCCGGAUGAGUUGGGGUCGGUCCGGAUGAGUUGGGGUCGGUCCGGAUGAGUUGGGGUCGGUCCAGAUGAGUUGGGGUCGGUCCGGAUGAGCUGGGGUCGGUCCGGGAGCUGGGGUCGGUCCGGAUGAGCUGGGGUCGGUCCGGAUGAGCUGGGGUCGGUCCGGAUGAGCUGGGGUCGGUCCGGAUGAGGUAGGGUCGGUCCGGAUGAGGUAGGGUCGGUCCGGAUGAGGUAGGGUCGGUCCGGAUGAGGUAGGGUCGGUCCGGAUGAGUUAGGAUUGGUCCGGAUGAGUUAGGAUUGGUCCGGAUGAGUUAGGAUUGGUCUGAAUGAGUUAGCCACGUUGUGAUUACUUUCUAGUCGCUAGUGCAUUAGUAUGAAUGACCCUGUGCAUGUAAUACAUACAGCCAUACAGGGGUGUAAAGCCUAAUCUUACAAAACAAAAUGAUUUUUAUUUAGUACAUAUUAUGUCCAUUGUUGUAUACAACAUCAAAAUACUAGAGUAGCACAUCCUCAGAGAUUUCUUCUAACACAUCUUUCUAUUCUAGUCUAAAUAAAUUCAAACCAUGAUUUUGACAUCAUUUCAGAGAAACAGGAGAUAAUAGUUAACAUAGGUCAUGUAUCUACCACUCUCCCUAGGUAGAGAAGAUAAGAACAGCCAGGUAGAGAGAGCAGAGAAAUAGGAGAGAACUAGUUAUGGUAGAGAAGAUAAGAACAGCCAGGUAGAGAGAGCAGAGAAAUAGGAGAGAACUAGUUAUGGUAGAGAAGAUAAGAACAGCCAGG
ensembl:lncRNA